rnacentral:tRNA from 1 species
GGGCGAAUAGCUCAGUUGGUUAGAGCACCCGCCUUACACGCGGGAUGUCGGGGGUUCGAGUCCCUCUUCGCCCA